AGUGCCGACCAGCGCCGCGACGCCUCGCAAUCCUCUCUCUUCCCUGUCUCUUCUCUUCUCUUCUAUUCUGUCGCCCUUCGUAUCCAACGACAGGGCUCUCUGUUGUUUGACGAGCGCGGUUCAUCUGGAUCGUCUCUCGAAUCUCGGCAAUCCCGAUAAUAACGCAACCGAUUGGAUCAGCUUAAGGGUGAGACGCGGUCACGUAACGAGUGAGCAGUGUGAGUCCGUGAGUCGAUGGACCAAUCGCCUCGCUCUCGCGGAGGAGGCCAUCCGUGUCGUUGUCCCGUUCAGCGCGAUCCUUUCGCGGUGACGGUGAAGUGUGAAAGUAUAUCUUUGCUUUGAUGGUACUGGCCAUGACAGUGAAGGAUGGGAUUCUCCUCCGUCUUUGUUUCAUACCGCGGGCGACUGUACAAAAGUGCACGUACGUGAUGAGACAGUGAUUUUGUUUGCUGCAAAAUAGCCGAUCACAAUCGCAGGAAUGGCAGUAAGAAGUCGGAAUGACGGUAGAGUAGGUGUGUUUGAAACUAUGCAGGAUUUGGCCAACAUCGUUCGCCAGGUUCUCCUAAACUCAGCGGAUUGCGACGCACCUCGUCACGCGACCUUGACUUCCCAUGGCAUCGGAACGCUAAGAGGUUUACCUUGGUAAACCCUAGUAUCUCUGGAUACCACUCGGGGUCUCGGUCGAGGGAUUAAGACGGGGUUGUUGAACAGGACGACACGGGAGGAACGGCAGGGAUGGGGAGGGGACGAACAGAGAGGGGACCGAGAGUGAGAAUGAGAAAGGGAAAGGCGACUACACUAAUCGUACGCCCGUAUAAUUGAUCGAGUGUAAUGAGUUAAAGAGGAUGCUACGGUAUCGAUGGCGAAAAUUAAAGAGUUCUGGGUCACGGAGGUGGCGAUAAUCCCGGAACAGAGAAAGUACGGAACUUAGGUACUUGUCCUCCUCCGCUCGCGCCCCCUCCGGCAUCUCACUCGUCAUCCACCGUCUCGACCGGCAUGGGAGGAAGCGCUGAUUGUAAAUUAGUUAAAGGAGAUGCUUCAUUAGGUAACGCGCUGUCUUGGUUCUUGAAGCUGCAGUUUCCCGGCGUUUAACUGUUUUUAAAGGGGCUCGCGGGGCAUAAUAACUGGCCGCGCACAGACUGGUCGAUACACGUGUAAGUUAAGUAUAUAAUUAUCAUAUAAUUAUAAAAGUGUUAAUAAAACCAACGUGUGUUUUAUCAACAAAAUGAUUUAUCGUAUCAAUCACGAUGUUAAAUCAUGGUGGCAUAAAUUUCUACAUUUACUGAAUUUUAUUUUUACGAGAUUAAAAUUACGGCGAUAAACAAAAUAUAAAUAAUAGGAUAACGAAAUAUACACGUGCAUAUUCAGUUAUUGCAUAAUUAUUGUAAUGUAGCUACAUAUUUUUUUACUUUCUCAGUCAUUAUAUUUUUAUAACUAUCUUUUAUCUAAUAUUACUCUUGCUUAUCUUAUGUAAUAUCCACGUUCACAAAGCAGAACAAUAUACUUGAGAAUAUCUUCUCUCUCCCCGCCCUGUUUAACUGCUCUAGGCAUACAUAAUUAUUCGAUGAUUGAGAGAAAUAGGCAAGCAAAUAUAUGACUAUAUGGCAUAUCUAAAUCUAUACGUGUGUAUUAAUAAUAAUUACCACCGUAUAGUUUUUACACGCUCAUUAUUUAAUAGAAAGUAGCUGUCGCAAGGUAGAUAAUUAAAUCUGGGAUUAACAAGGCUGUCAUUAAUUCGAAAGGUUAGAUUGAUCGAAGUAAUGAGUGUCUGUAAUUCCCGCUCAUAUGUUCCGACAUUUAAAUGUCGAAUCCGACUUGAGGAAAAUCAGCACGUAUCGUGCGUAGAGGUAAAUUGCCGAAAGCGUAUAAUCGAACUCUAUUCAGCCGUUUACACAUUUCCCUCGUCUAUACGAUAUUACUUUUUGGCUGGCUUCGUUUUUGACGUCUUUUCAAUUCGAAGCGAGAGGAAUGAAAAAGGAGAGACGAAAAAAGUGGCGCGGGCAAGAGAUAGGUGGAUAGAAAGACGACGGUUAGCUACGUCCGGAGGCACGCGAGAGGCAAUAGUGUCUUCCGCGCAUCCCCUAGGGAAAUUAUUGACAGUCAGCGAGGAAAUGACGUCGUAAAUACCAUGCCGAGGCGAAGUAACCGCCCGCUUCAGGGCCUCUUCUCUUCGCUUCGCGUUCCUCUCUCUCUCUCUCUCUCUCUCUCUUUUUCUCUUCUCGUCCUUUUUCUCCUCCGUCGGCUUCUACUUUGUCCGUCGUCUUUCUUCUGCCGCGUAUAAUUCCUGCGAUGUUGUUUUCAGCGGCCGUGGUUCCGCGGCGCGGGGCGGAAAAAUACACGCGUCGGGCCAGCGCCUAUUUACGGACACCAUAACACGGCGGUUACGGCGGAUAAUAUUAAGAGUGAACCGCGCAUACGCGCCGACCUGCCGGUCGUCUGCUUAGGUCACGUCGAGAUACGAUGGUGGUUCCUUCGGAUGAGAAACACGGAUUUCUUUGUUAAGAUGUGUUGACCGCUAGUAGUAUUUUCUAAGGAUGAUAUCUCUCGUUUUGAAAAUGGGAGUUUGCAAUGAGUCGUCUAUAACUGCUUUAAUGGUACCCGAUAGCGUUGCAAUUAAUCGUGAUUUUUGUUUCUGCACCUACUCAAAUUUUCAUUAAUAUUGCAUUAUAUUUUGUGGAAUUAAUUCGCAAACGUUUUGCGCAUCAAUAUUAUUCUUAUCUAUUUAUUAUCUAUUAUGCCAUGAGAUUUUAUGUAU